GGAGUGAAAGACCCCUUCCCCUUGUUUUGACCCCCUGUCAUAAUAUGCUUAGCAAUAGUAACGCCAUUUGCAAGACAGCACCAAGAAGUUCAGGGGUCUUAUCCUAAGUCCACCGUUUAGCUGCCAAACAGGAUAUCUGUGGUCAGCCACCCGGCCCUAAGAUAGCCACCUGGCCCUAAGAUGGGAAUGGAAAGUACUGACUCCACCCGAUAGACCCUAGAGAUGAGCCUAGUCAGCCACCCAUGUUUUUCCCCCUCAUUCUGGGAAAUCGCCCUCAGAAAAGAAAAGAAAAAGAAAAAAAAAAAAAAAAAAAAAAAAAAAACCAGCCUCAUUUAACUGGACCAAUAAGACCCCGUAACUAUGCUUCUCGCUUCUGUAACCGCGCUUCUGCCACUCCAACCCUAUAAAAAGUCUCCCCAGCCCAACAAGAGGCGCGCAAGUCUUUGCUGAGACUUGACCGCCCCGGGUACCCGUGUACGAAUAAACCUCUUGCUGUUUGCAUCUGACUCGUGGUCUCGGUGUUCCGUGGGCACGGGGUCUCAUCGCCGAGGAAGACCUAGUUAGGGGGUCUUUCAUUUGGGGGCUCGUCCGGGAUAGAGACCCCCAACCCCCGGGACCACCGACCCACCAUCAGGAGGUAAGCUGGCCGGCGACCAUAUCUGUUGUCCUUGUAUGAGUGUCUCUGUCAUUUGAUCUGAUUUUGGCGGUGGAGCCGAAGGAGCUGACGAGCUCGAACUUCGCCCCCGCAACCCUGGAAGACGUUCCACGGGUGUCUGAUGUCUGGAGCCUCUAGUGGGACAGCCAUUGGGGCUAGAUUGUUUGGGAUCUCAUCCGUAUUAGGUGAAUACAGGGUGUUGAUCGGAGACGAGGGAGCCGGACCCUCAAGGUCUCCUUCUGAGGUUUCAUUUUCGGUUUGGUAUCGAAGCCGCGCGGCACGUCUUGUCAUUCUUUGUCUUGUUGCGUCUUUCCUUGUCCCCUGUCUAACCUUUUUAAUUGCAGAAGCCGUCAUGGGCCAAACUGUAACUACCCCCUUGAGCCUCACCCUCAACCACUGGUCUGAGGUCCAGGCACGGGCCCGUAAUCAGGGUGUCGAAGUCCGGAAAAAGAAAUGGAUUACACUGUGUGAAGCCGAAUGGGUAAUGAUGAAUGUAGGUUGGCCCCGAGAAGGAACUUUCACCAUUGACAAUAUUUCACAGGUCGAGGAGAGAAUCUUCGCCCCGGGGCCAUAUGGACACCCAGAUCAAAUCCCUUAUAUUACCACGUGGAGAUCCCUAGCCACAGACCCCCCUCCAUGGGUUCGCCCAUUCCUGCCCCCUCCUAAGCAUCCCAGGACAGAUCCUCCCGAGCCUCUUUCGCCGCAACCCUCAGCCCCCCCCAUCUCCUCCCUCUACCCCGUUCUCCCCAAACCAGACCCCCCCAAGGCGCCUGUAUUACCACCCAAUCCUUCUUCCCCUUUAAUUGAUCUCUUAACAGAAGAGCCACCUCCCUAUCCUGGGGGUCACGGGCCAACACCGCCAUCAGGCCCUAGAACCCCAACUGCCUCCCCGAUUGCCAGCCGGCUGCGAGAACGACGAGAAAAUCCAGCUGAGAAAUCUCAAGCCCUCCCCUUAAGGGAAGGCCCAAACAACAGACCCCAGUACUGGCCAUUCUCGGCCUCUGACCUGUACAAUUGGAAAUUGCAUAACCCCCCUUUCUCCCAGGACCCAGUGGCCCUAACUAACCUAAUUGAGUCCAUUUUAGUGACACAUCAGCCAACCUGGGACGACUGCCAACAGCUCUUACAGGCUCUCCUGACGGCAGAGGAGAGACAAAGGGUCCUCCUUGAAGCCCGAAAGCAAGUUCCAGGCGAGGACGGACGGCCAACCCAGCUGCCCAAUGUCGUUGACGAGGCUUUCCCCUUGACCCGUCCCAACUGGGAUUUUGCUACGCCGGCAGGUAGGGAGCACCUACGCCUUUAUCGCCAGUUGCUGUUAGCGGGUCUCCGCGGGGCUGCAAGACGCCCCACUAAUUUGGCACAGGUAAAGCAAGUUGUACAAGGGAAAGAGGAAACGCCAGCCUCAUUCUUAGAAAGAUUAAAAGAGGCUUACAGAAUGUAUACUCCCUAUGACCCUGAGGACCCAGGGCAGGCUGCUAGUGUUAUCCUGUCCUUUAUCUACCAGUCUAGCCCGGACAUAAGAAAUAAGUUACAAAGGCUAGAAGGCCUACAGGGGUUCACACUGUCUGAUUUGCUAAAAGAGGCAGAAAAGAUAUACAACAAAAGGGAGACCCCAGAGGAAAGGGAAGAAAGAUUAUGGCAGCGGCAGGAAGAAAGAGAUAAAAAGCGCCAUAAGGAGAUGACUAAAGUUCUGGCCACAGUAGUUGCUCAGAAUAGAGAUAAGGAUAGAGAGGAAAGUAAACUGGGAGAUCAAAGGAAAAUACCUCUGGGGAAAGACCAGUGUGCCUAUUGCAAGGAAAAGGGACAUUGGGUUCGCGAUUGCCCGAAACGACCCCGGAAGAAACCCGCAGACUCCACUCUCCUCAACCUAGAAGAUUAGGAGAGUCAGGGCCAGGACCCCCCCCCUGAGCCCAGGAUAACCCUAAAAGUAGGGGGGCAACCAGUGACCUUUCUGGUGGAUACGGGAGCCCAGCACUCGGUACUGACUCGACCAGAUGGACCUCUCAGUGACCGCUCAGCCCUGGUGCAAGGAGCCACAGGAAGCAAAAACUACCGAUGGACCACCGACAGGAGGGUGCAACUGGCAACCGACACCUUCUCUGGCUGGGCCGAAGCUUACCCCGCCAAACAUGAAACAGCAAAAGUUGUUGCCAAGAAACUCUUAGAAGAGAUUUUUCCUCGUUACGGGAUCCCUCAGGUAUUGGGUUCAGAUAAUGGACCCGCCUUUAUCUCCCAGGUAAGUCAGUCUGUGGCCACCCUACUGGGGAUUAAUUGGAAAUUACAUUGUGCAUACCGACCCCAAAGUUCAGGUCAGGUAGAAAGAAUGAAUAGAUCAAUUAAGGAGACUUUAACUAAAUUAACGCUAGAAACUGGCUCUAAGGAUUGGGUGCUCCUCCUGCCCCUGGUUUUAUACCGGGUACGUAACACGCCAGGUCCCCACGGGUUAACUCCUUUUGAAAUCCUGUACGGGGCACCCCCACCUAUGGCUCACUUCUUUGAUGCUGACAUCUCUGGUUUCGCUACCUCCCCCACCAUGCAGGCACAUUUACGCGCCCUGCAGCUGGUCCAAGAAGA